UACGUAGGGUGCGAGCGUUGUCCGGAAUUAUUGGGCGUAAAGGGCUCGUAGGCGGUCUGUCGCGUCGGGGAGUGAAAACUCAGGGCUUAACCCUGAGCCUGCUCCCGAUACGGGCAGACUGAGGUAUGCAGGGGAGUGGAAUUCCUGGUGUAGCGGUGAAAUGCGUAGAGUAUCAGGAGGAACACCGGUGGCGAGGCGGGUCUCUGGGCAGUAACUGACGCUGAGGAGCGAAAGCGUGGGGAGCGAACAGG
rnacentral:rRNA from 1 species